AGUAAGAGCUCAGUCUCUUCACCAGGGGCUCCCAGUCCUUCCAUCUGGGAGGCCAAGGCGGCUUCGCGUUCUGAGAAUAGACAGAACCUCUGUUACUCUGUGACCGGCAGGCACCGGGAGAUCCGUAGCUCAGACGCCAGGACAUCCCGGAAGCUGGGAAAUGAUAUCUUUUCUCAUGAUACUCAAGGCCUCUUAAGAAAGAAGCUUAUAGAAGCAUCAUUCCAAAAAGCGAUAUUGGAUGGAUAUGGGAGCUGUGGCCCUCAGAAUUUAAACUUAAGGAAAGAGUGGGAAAGUGAGGAGAAAAAUCAGUACAAUAAAUCUGAUACAACAUUAAGCCAAGGCAUAAGCCCCAGAAGACAUCAGAAAACUCAUUUUCUACAUAACCAUUGCAAACGUAAAAAAUGUGAGAAAGCCUUUCAUGAAUGCACCAACCAUGUCCAUCAGAGUAUCUUUAUUCAAGAGAAGUCUGCCAAAUGUAAUAGGUGUGUAGAAACUUUUAUCCAGUCAUCAAAACAUACUCAGCCUCAGAGAAUCCAUAUUGGAGAAAAGUCACACAGAUGUAAUAAUGGUGAGAAAAUCCUUAGUAAAUUGUCAAGUCUAAGAAAACAUAAGAUAAUCCAUAAUGAAGAGAAACCUUAC
rnacentral:sRNA from 1 species